CUCUAAUAAAUUAAUUAUUAGUAAAAUCUGCUCAAUGACAUUAAAUAGCCGCAAAUCAUUUGUGCUAAGGUAGCAUAAUCACUUGUCUUCUAAUUAAAGACUAGAAUGAAUGAUUUAACAUUUUAAUUAAUUUCUUUAAAAUAUAUUUCCAAUUUAUCUUAAACCUAAAAAGAAGUUUAUUAAUUAAAAAGACAACAAGACCCUAUCGAACUUCACUAAAGUUUCACUGGGGAAGUAAAUUAAUUAACACUUUAAUUAAAUUAAAUAAACAAAUAACCUAUUACAAUUAAUUAUAUUAAGUUACCGUAGGGAUAACAGCGUAAUUAUUUUCUAAAGAUCUUAUAAUAAAAAUAGUUUACGACCUCGAUGUUGAUUAAUUCACCUUUUAAACGCAACAGUUUAACAAAGGAAGUCUGUUCGACUUUUAAUUAAUUACA
rnacentral:rRNA from 1 species